rnacentral:lncRNA from 10 species
UUUACUGGAGUUGUGCGCAUGCUUGCUUGAGGCAUUUUUCUCUUAACCAGCGCAAUGUACUUAGGAGGUCAUGCGCCGGUUAAACUCUGCCAUUAUGCCUCUUACUGGGCAUGCUUGAGCCCACGGGCCCAACUCCUGAGAUCCCAUUCGGAAGCUGCUGAUCACCAGUUUCAAGUGUUUCUGUUUAUUGGGAGACUGCCUUCCUCUGGCACUGGCAGUGACCAAUUAUUAUUUUAGAGAGACUGUUAACGGCCUGACCAUCACCUGAUGAAUAUCAGGAAUGUGGCCUGACAUUCCUGGUGUGUGUGGUGUGGGGUACGAGGGGAGCUCUCUCCUACGCUGCUCAUGUCUGACUAGUUGGAUUCUGCAGAGUGGAAGUGGGAAACUCCUUCUGACCCUGGCCACCUGUCUCCAUGUGAAGGCAGAUCCAUUUGAGUGACAGUCCGAGGCAAUACCUCAACUGCCUCUCACUUCCCAAGACAAAUAAACCCACUUGACCUUGAUGUGCUUUUUGUGAAUACAUUGUGAGAUUGGACUUUCGGAUAUUUUAUUUAGAAUUUCUGCGUCUAUAUUCUUUGGGAGGUACACGGAGCGCCUUCUUUUCGUUUAGAGCAUUGGUGUCUCCACAUUAGAAGCAUCCUAUGUAGCUGUUCUGCUUGCAGCUGCCCAAGUCUGCCUGGGCCUCCUGCAUGAGGUCAUGAGUCUUAAUAAAGCCACUGACCCACACAUUUGGAAUCGUACUGACUUUUCACAACUAACAGCCAACACAUUGCCAAGAAGCAAUUCAAUUGUUGAGGAUAUCACAUCAUGCCAGGGAAAGAGAGAUGGAAUUCAGAAAGCCUGGGAUAUUGCAGUUCAGAUAAAUUGCACUUGGUCAACGGAAAUGUCCUAAGGGCACUGCAGCUGCAGCUGGAGAAUGAAGAAGACAUAAAAUUAGGGCUUUUGUCACUGUCGCUUGAUUUCAUUAAAGGGCAUUAGUUCUCGGCGAGAUAUAUGGGGUUGGAGAGGACAGGAGCCAGAAGCUCCCAGUGCAGCAGCAAGGCUGGCCCACGUGAGCACCUGGAGCAUCAUUUCUGCUGCCACAUGCUUGGGCUGCCCCACCCCGCCGUGCCCUGCUCAGCCGUGCCCUGCUCCAUCUCCCUCGCCAGGCCUGAGACCGGCCCCCAGUGUGUUGUGACUCCUGAGGUCUCUCAGCUCUCCCUCAACCCCCAGGAGAAUUGCUCUCCACUCCAGAAGCCGCCUGAUGGGGAGGCUGACCCCUCUCCAGGACUGACUGAUCCAGGUUUAUCCUGACAGUAACCUCUCCCCAGGUCGGAAGACCUCUCAGGCUCUGUUUCUAGGGAGGCUGACCUGCUGACAAUGCUCCUAGCUGGAUUUUGUAAGCGGUCUUGAAUAAAGUCUUCCUCACUGUUUUAACAAGAGACAAGGUAAUGUUCAUUGAACAUCUUAUACAAAGAGGAAACCUGGCACAGAAGUGGACAUGCACUCGGAGGGAAAAUGCCAAGUGACAAUGAAGGCAGAGAUCAGGUGAUGCAUCUGCAAGCUGAGCAACAUCAGGAAUUGCCAAAAACCACCAGGAGCUGGAGAGGCCUGGGACAGAGCCUCCCACGGAGCCUCAAGGGAGCCAGCCCUGCCCACGCCUUGAUCUUUGACGUCCGACCUCAAGAACUAUGAAAGAACCCAUUUCUGUUGGUGAAGGCUCCCCGUCUGUGGUCCCCUGUCCUGGCAGCCCUAGGAACCUGACCUCUGGUCCCUCUGCAUCCCUGGCAUCACUCUGCCUCCCUCUCUUUUUCUCCAGUGAAUCCAACACACUCUCAGUGAGACAGCCAGGUGGCAAGGGGUUCUCGGAGAAACUCCAGCCGGCCUGCUCGCUGGGCAUGUACACUGGAGUGGAGCCACAGAAGUUCACGGUGUUUGCAGCAGGGAGGAGCCUGGCCACUCCUCUUCCUGGUUGGAACCUGGAAUUUAUUUUGUGAGGCGGGAAGCCUAUACUGGGGAGACUCUUGCUCUGCUGAGUCCCCAUUCCCCCUUUAUUUUCCUUUUUGCCCAAUAAAUCCUAUUAUUCUCAGUCUUCAAA